UACGUAGGUGGCAAGCGUUGUCCGGAUUUACUGGGCGUAAAGAGCGCGCAGGCGGUCGUGCAAGUCGCGUGUGAGAGCCCCCGGCUCAACUGGGGAGGGUCACGCGAUACUGCUCGACUCGAAGGCAGGAGAGGGAAGUGGAAUUCCCGGUGUAGUGGUGAAAUGCGUAGAUAUCGGGAGGAACACCAGUGGCGAAGGCGACUUCCUGGCCUGUUCUUGACGCUGAGGCGCGAAAGCUAGGGUAGCAAACGGG
rnacentral:rRNA from 1 species